GACGUAGGGCGCGAGCGUUGUCCGGAUUUAUUGGGCGUAAAGAGCUCGUAGGCGGCUUGUCGCGUCGUUCGUGAAAACCCGGGGCUCAACUCCGGGCUUGCGGGCGAUACGGGCAGGCUAGAGUUCGGUAGGGGAGACUGGAAUUCCUGGUGUAGCGGUGAAAUGCGCAGAUAUCAGGAGGAACACCGGUAGCGAAGACGGGUCUCUGGGCCGAUACUGACGCUGAGGAGCGAAAGCGUGGGGAGCGAACAGG
rnacentral:rRNA from 1 species